CAGUCCUAGCAGCAGAAACAGAAAACAAAACACAGUGAAAGGCCCAAGAACUCAGAAGAGGACCACUAUUAGAAAGGGCUUGAGUUUGGUUUCUUUCAAGAAUUUACUUAAAAACAAACACUGAGUUAAUUACAAAAAUCCACUUGAACAGGGCACUGCAAGACCAGAGCAGUGAUUGGUUGCCCACAGGAACACCAGUCUGAGUUACUUACAUGUGACUAACCUUCGCAAGAGUUAAACCAGAGGAAAGAUGAUAGUAGCCUGUGUUUAGUGUAAUAAUGGAAAAUGAUGUUUGAGAAAGCUGGAGGGAAACCCACCAAAUCCAAGAACCAAACAGCCUAGGGAACCACAGAGGUUCUCACCCUUCCUAAUGCUGCGGCCUUCUAAUACAGUUCCUCAUGCUGUGGUGACCCCCGACCAGAAGAUUAUUUUUGUUGCUACUUCAUAACUGUAAUUUUGCUACUGUUAUAAAUUGUAAUCUAAAUAUCUAUGUUUUCUGAUGGCCUUAGGGGACCCCUGUGAAAGGGUCACUUGGCCAAUGACCUAGAAAGACCCACUACUUGGGAGGGGAGAGGAAGUUAGCACCUUAGACUUGAACCCAGUACCAACCUCACUAGGAUGAAAUUCAGUACUGAGUGGACCCCCUCCCCCAUAGCCCUUUCUCCCAGGAUAAUGUUCAUAGAGAAUCUCUAGAUCACCCCAGAGCUAGGUAAACAUCCCUGACCUUGGUGAGAUGAACCUGGGGUCCCACUUCCACAACUGCUAACUAUGACCAGAACUGUACCAGUUCUAUACCAGUUCUAAGGGUUGCAGCUUCAGGUAUGACCUGACUAUGACUACUUAGUACCAAUCUUGUUAACCAAGGGUUGCCUCUGCUAUUCGCCCUCAGUCUCCAGCAGCAAGUUCAAAGACAUUUUAUUUGCAACUCGCUUAUGAAGGAAAGAUGUCUAGAACUUUUACUUGGAACUCACAGCUGGGGCUGUAGAUUCUUUCCAAGAAUAGCAUCAAUCCAGAAGCCCAAAUGUCACAUGAAAUUCCAAUUUGCAUCACUAGUGCCUGGCUGCAGUGGUGCCCAGCCAAGGGUAGAUCACAUCACCAGACAGGGCGUGGAAACAUAGUUACAUUGGUCUCAGCAAGCUGAGGGCUCCAGAAAGGGACCCAAACUUGGCUUUUUAAGUUGUGUCUCUUGUGGUAAGGGUAGAACCCUGUUGUUCCUGGCCACAGGCUCAUGAUUGUAGAUGAGGCUUUUGGUUCUGAGGUUGGAUUACCUCCUCUAGGCAGUCCCCAAAUCUAUCACAUACAGCGUGCCAGUUGCAACAAACCUAAGCUAGGAAUGCCAUAUGUCCCUAACAGAAUAGCAGCACUGCUUUUGGAUUUACUGGGACUAGUGUCCUCUAGUGUUGCAACAGUGGGCAAUGAUGAGGGGCUCCAGAACAAACAACCUGCUUAGAAUUCCAGGCCAGGCACCAUUGAAGUCAAAGAAUGACAGCUGGAAUAAAUGCCUAAUACUUCAGUGCAUGGAUUCUUUCAGAUACUAACAAGCAUCAAGAGCUUCCAGAGAGCUGUGAGGUGUCAGAAGCCGAUGAUGAGGUGAUGGAUAUGCUUGGCCUCAUGGACAAGAAUUCAAAACAGCCAUUUUAUGGAAAGUAGUGAACUUCAAGAAAAUACAAAGAAGCUGGGCAUGAUAACACAUGUCUGUAAUUCCAGCACUAGGGAUGUUAAGGCAGGAGAAUUGUAAUUGAGAAGCUACUCUGAGUUAAAUAAUGAGGUCCAGUUCUAUAUAAUAGUCAGCCAAGAAUGGGAGAAAUAGUCUUCCUCAGGGAAGAACAUGUCAAUCGGUUAUCUAAUAUCAAAUGGUCAGGCCUGAAAAUGUACAUAUAAGUAACAUUAUGUAGGUUGUAUUUAUGAUGUAAGUGUGUGUGUGUGUGUGUGUGUGUGUGUGUAUCUGUAUAUUUCUCUCUGUGUGUGCCUGUGUAUGUGUCUGUGCAUCUGUGUGUCUGUGUGUAUCUCUCUUUGUGUGUGUAUGUAUGCAUGUGUGUGUAUCUGUGUAUAUUUGUGUAUGUCUAUGUUUAUGUAUGUGUGUAAUUUAUGUGACAAUUUAAUAAGGAAAAAAUAGAGAUCACAAAUUUGGAAGAAAGUAUGGAACGGUAUACAGCAGAGGGUUUGAAGAGAAGAAAGAGAAGGAGGAAAUGCUGUAAUUAUAAUCUCAAAAAAUAAAAGACACACACAUAUGCACAUAUAUAGAUAUAUACAUAUAUGCCAGAACUGGUCAGGGGUGGAAAAUUCAUUAGAAAUAACCUACUGAGACAUGAUCCUUAAAAGCACAAGAGAAACUGGGCAGCAGGGGCGCAUGCCUUUUUUCUAGCACUUGAGAUGUAGAGGCGGACAGCUCCAGCCUGGUCUAUAGAGUGAGUUCCAGGACAGCUAGGGCUACAUAUACAAAACCCACCUUGAAAAUCAGAAACAAAAGCAAACAACAACCAUAAGAACAACAAAAUAAAAUCUCUAGGGAACAAUUGAGUAAUCACCAGGAAACCUUGCUACAGAAAGUAAAAUAUUUUUUAAAAACUAGUAAUUCCUGGAGCUGAAAAGCAGAACAGGUGCAGAGGGAACUGACAGCAUCCAUAGAGAAUCCAUUUAACAGAAGAGUCAGUGAGCUUGAAGUCAAGGUAUUUGAAUAUAUUCAGGAGGGAAAAAGUUGAAGAGGAAUGAAGAAAGCUCAUAGGAUUUUAGAACACCAUUAAAAGAAUAGACACCCAGGUUUGGGGUUUCAAUGAGGGAUGACUCCUCUCCCCUGCACAAGUGGCAUCUAUUCACACAGACACAAAUACAUAUGCAGAAAUUGUAAAAGAGAUAAAACAUAUAAAAAUAUAAUAACAUGUUGAGAACAUUGGGAGAAAAAGUGACAGUCCAGGGCUCAGGCCUGAACAGGACAUCAACGCCUCCUCUCUAAUGCCCCGGGAUCAUUGUAGACAGAAGGGUCGAAAGAAUACAAGAGCCGGAGAGGCUGUGAAAUGCUAGUUUCUGGGUGUGACACAACCAGCAGAACUGUGAUUUCACAGCAGCCAAGCUGUCUCCACUGGACUUUUAUAACACUGGGUUUGACAUCAGUUAAACACGGAUAAGGGAGGGGCUUGUGAACUUUUGGCUACUAGUGGACUCUGGGAGGGGCUCAGUCAUUAUAUUUAGUUGUAUGCCUGUAUGCAACUCACAAAGGUCAGUUCCAAACUCAUCAUCACAUGACUGCCUUAGUGAAACUCAGAGUGUCACAAAACAAAACGACCUGAAUUUGAGAAAGAGACUUGCGGGUAGAGGGGAGAUUGACAGAGGAAGAUGGGAAAGGAGGAAGAGAGAGUAACCAGAUGUAUUAUGCACUGUACGUGUAUAAAAUUGUCAAAGAACACAUUUAAUAAAAAGUGUAAUAGAAACUAGUUUUAUAGGAAUAAACAUGGUUCACGCAUAAUUUUGUGUAUAUUUAUGGAUAUAUAUACAUAUACAUGUAUAUAUAUAUGAUGGAUGACUAUAUUAAUAUAUUUCCUAAACCAGGUAACAUAAAGCUUUCCAAACCUAGAGUGAGAACAAAAUAACCAGAUAGAGGAAAGUCAAAAGUUACCAGUUGGAUGUGAUUUAAUCAAAUCUACCACAAAUUGACAUGUUAUGAUCAGGUCUCAAAAGUUAAAACAGAGAGAAUUGUGAAAUUAGCAAGGGAAGAAGAGAGAAAGGAAGGAAGGAGGGAAGGAAGCAAACCCGAAUACAUGCUUCAAUCGAGCCGACAGCUGACUUUCAGGAGAGAACUUACACCCUAGGAGAAAUGGAAUGGUGAAAGCAAGCGAAACCCGCGGACUACCACAGGUGUGCUCUGGAGCAGGGGCUGCCCGAGCCUGUUGCCUGCUGUAGAUCCCUGGCCCUAAAUGGACCUCCUUUCCUGGCCUUAGUGGGAGAGGAUGCACCAAGUACCCAGUGACUUGAUGUGUAGGGUUGGGGAGGGGUACUAGUGGAGGGUGUGAUGGGAGGCUUAAGAGGAAGGUGGAAUGGAGGGAGGGCUUGCAUGAGGAGGUACUGGGAGGAGAGGAAGGGCUGGUAUUAGGUUGUAAAGUGAAUAACUGAUGAUGAUGAUGAUGAUGACGACGACGACGACGACGACGACUGAUGUAUUCAGCAAAGCAAACUUUCAGAAGAGGCGACAAAAGGGUAUUUCCAAAUUGAAGCUGAGUGGAUUUGUUGCUACUUAAAUUCACUCUAGAAUAAGUCCUAAGGAAAAUUCUUUAGCAUGAGAGAACAAGAUAUGUUGAAUAAAAUACUGGAAUAUUUUGGAAACACUGAAAGUUAACAAUAAGUUUCAGAAAGAUGUAGUGUUUUCUAAUACUUUAAUUAUGGUACUUCAAACAUCUUUAGUAUGAGGAUUAAAAAUAAAAAAAUGACUACACUGCUAUUUUAAGAAAUAGGCAAUAUAAAAACCUAAAAUGAAACAUUAGAAAUUAAAAUAUAGGAAAGAAUACAGUGUAUGUGUUGAGGUUUUCUUUCUUUUUUAAUGCUUAUGAUCAAAAUCAAAUUGCUAUGUUUUCAAAAUAACUUGUACUGAACAAUUUUUUAUAUUUAGUAUUAACUACAAAGAGAAAAUGUACAGCUACACCAAAACAAACAAACAAACAAAAAACCAAA